rnacentral:rRNA from 1 species
AAUAGAUACCCGGGUAGUCCACGCCGUAAACGAUGGAUGCUAGCUAUUGGGGGGAAUCGACCCCCUCCGAAGCGAAGCUAACGCGUUAAGCAUCCCGCCUGAGUAGUACGAGCGCAAGCUUAAAACUCAAAGGAAUUGACGGGGACCCGCACAAGCGGUGGAGCGUGUGGUUUAAUUCGAUGGUAAACGAAGAACCUUACCAAGGUUUGACAUCCCGGUAGCCGUUCUCCGAAAGGAGAAUUUCAUUUAGUUGGACCGGUGACAGGUGAUGCAUGGCCGUCGUCAGCUCGUGUCGUGAGAUGUUGGGUUAAGUCCCGCAACGAGCGCAACCCUUAUGAUUUAGUUGGAUUUUUCUAAACAGACUGCCCUGGUAACAGGGAGGAAGGAGGGGAUGAUGUCAGGUCAGUAUUUCCCUUACACCUUGGGCGAACACGACGCGCUACAAUGGCCGGUACAAUGGGCAGCUAAGCCGCGAGGUGGAGCAAAUCCCAUCAAAGCCGGUCCCAGUUCGGAUUGCAGGCUGAAACCCGCCUGCAUGAAGUCGGAAUCGCUAGUAACC